rnacentral:misc_RNA from 1 species
CAACCCUUAAGCCUAGCUUAGUGUUGGGAGUCUACUGGUGGUAACUUGUUACCUUGUAGUUCCUAAAAUACAAACGGCGGAUCUGCAGUAUCCUCUGAGCGUAGUUAAAUUUUUAUCUCGUCUUUUGUUAGGUGCUGUGGCUCUUGCCGCCUAAACCCCCAAUUUUUAAUGG